GCCUGGUGUUGUGGCAGGCACCUGAAGUCCCAGCUACUUGGGAGGCUGAGACACGAGGAAUCUUCAGCCCAAGAGUUUGAGGUUGCUGUGAGCUGUGACACCACAGCACUCUACCCAGGGUGACAAAGUGAGACUCUGUCUCAAAAAAAAAAAAAAAAAUUUCUGUCUUUUACUUAUGAUUUGUUUGUUUAUUUAUUUUUUAAAGACAAGAGCCUCACUAUGUUGCCCUGGGUAGAGUGCUGUGAUGUCACAGCUCACAGCAACCUCAAACUCUUGGGCUGCAGCAAUCCUCUUGUCUCAG
rnacentral:SRP_RNA from 1 species